rnacentral:rRNA from 1 species
GACGAACGCUGGCGGCGUGCUUAACACAUGCAAGUCGAACGAUGAAGCCUUAGCUUGCUUUGGUGGAUUAGUGGCGAACGGGUGAGUAACACGUGAGCAACGUGCCCAGGACUCUGGAAUAACCGCGGGAAACCAUGGCUAAUACCGGAUAGGUGCCGAGGCCGCAUGGUCUUCGGUUGGAAAGUUUUUGCGGUUCUGGAUCGGCUCACGGCCUAUCAGCUUGUUGGUGGGGUAAUGGCCUACCAAGGCGACGACGGGUAGCCGGCCUGAGAGGGUGACCGGCCACACUGGGACUGAGACACGGCCCAGACUCCUACGGGAGGCAGCAGUGGGGAAUAUUGCACAAUGGGCGGAAGCCUGAUGCAGCAACGCCGCGUGGGGGAUGACGGCCUUCGGGUUGUAAACCUCUUUUAGUAGGGAAGAAGCGCAAGUGACGGUACCUGCAGAAAAAGCACCGGCUAACUACGUG